UACAGAGGGUGCGAGCGUUGUUCGGAAUUAUUGGGCGUAAAGGGCGCGUAGGCGGGUCUUUAAGUCAGGGGUGAAAUCCUGGAGCUCAACUCCAGAACUGCCUUUGAUACUGAGGAUCUUGAGUUCGGGAGAGGUGAGUGGAACUGCGAGUGUAGAGGUGAAAUCCGUAGAUAUUCGCAAGAACACCAGUGGCGAAGGCGGCUCACUGGCCCGAUACUGACGCUGAGGCACGAAAGCGUGGGGAGCAAACAGG
rnacentral:rRNA from 1 species